UUUUAAAUGUAUAUCUACGUUUGAAAGGGCAGACAACGAUAGAGAAUCCGCUAUGGUCGUCGAGUGGGAACAAAGGACAACGAUGGAAUGAAGCUCAUGUUAAUAUAUAUCCAAUUACUUCAUUUCAGGUAAGAAUUAACUUUAUUCACAGAUCAAAGUGUAAUGAAUGCAGUAUGAAAUGCACAUCUUAAAGAAACAAUAAGUAAAAUAUUAAUACUAGAAUUCUGCAUAAGACAAAUAAAAGUAUAUCCUCAUUUUGAAUAGCUAUUUUAUGAAGACAAAUGCAUCUGUAUCAGCAUCCAUCAUAUAGAAUAAUAAUCUAUCAGAAGAUGAGUUAUUGCCUAGCAUAGUGACACAUGCCUUCAUGUGUCAUCCUGGAAUUUGGGAAGUAGAGGUAUUCAUUUCUAUGAGUUUGAGGCUAGCCUGGUCCACAAAGCAUACUCUAAGAUAUCUAGAACUACAGAGAGAAAACCUAUCUCAAGAAAAAACAGAACAAAACAAAAAAAUUAAACUAAAAACCCUCAAGGUAUUUGCAUAGUAAUCUAUUUCUAUAGAAUCAUUUGCAUGUAGUUUAUUUACUAUAGAGAAUAAUAGAGAUUUUCACUAAAAUGGACAUUAGUACUCUAUCUAAUUUGUUGGAUAACUUUAGAUGGCAUUUGAAACAAGUUUUGUACUUCAGUCAUUUAUUAUUUUAAUCAAAGUCAGGAUGUUUAAAAAAAUUAAUUUUUCUUUCUGUAAAUUGAAGUUAGACCAGUUAAAAACCAAAAAAGCAUUUAUAAAGAUAUCAAAAAAUUUAAUGAUUUAAGAUUUUUAGGUUGAAAUUGGAAAUUUUAAUAAUCCUUAUAAAAGAUGGUAUAUCCAUAAACCAUUUCAAUAAAGUUGGAAGCAUGAAUUUGAUGAUUUAAAUAACUAUACCCUACAUAUGUAUAUGAAUGUAUAUGUGUGCAUACCUGUGCUUUCAUAAACUCCUAGCCAACAUACACCAAAAUAUCUUUAUUUGUUUAAAAUAGUGAAAAAAUUUUAAAAUCUAACCACAUGUAAUAUAGUUUAUAGCUGUAUCCUUAUUUGAAAGUACUCAAAUCCACUUAAUGAUAUCAUAAAUGUGUCUCAUUGAUUACUUUGAAGGGUCCAGAUAAUCAGACUGAUCUAAUUAUGCAACAUUUUUCAUUGCAUAAUUACAUGACUGUUUGAGAGAUUGUCUUCUAAAGCUAACCAAGUUAAUAAAAUGAAUAAUUUUUUGCAAGAUUAGAGGAUAAGAAAUUAAGGCCCCAAGGAAUCAUAUGACUAUGAAAGUACAGAAACGUUUUACGUCUAUGAAGGACAAUACAGUGGUAAAACCUGAAAUACCUUAACUUAGGAAGGCAGAACUUGAAGUACAACUAAUAUUAAAGUGUGUAUGUGUGUGUGUGUGUGUGUGUGUGUGCAUGUGUGUGCACGCAUGCACACGCAUUGAGGCUCAUUUUUCUAAAAAUUUUUAUGUUCUUCAGUAUAUGUUUUGAUUCCUAAUUAGGCUACCUCUUUAUCACAAAUGAUUAAAUUAAGUACAUCUACAGUAAGGAUUUAAGUUAGGAUGGUAUUAUACUCUAGACAAUUUUUUCUUCACAUUCAUGUUAAUUUAAUGAACAUUUGUUAAGUGCCUCCAGGGCAAGCAUUGAUUUCCUUAGAUACUCCUACUUUCUGUCACCUUGAGAGGCAUGAAGAUUUAGUAAAAAUUCUUGUAAAUUAUGCUGGAGAACUGGUACACAGGCAUGAAAGAGAUUUCGGGAUAUUCUUAGAUGUGAACAAGAAGAGAACAGUUUUCAUGGGAGGAAUCUUGAAGUAGACAUUAAUGACGAAGAAAUUUUGGCUUACAAAUUGUCAACUAAUGCCUGAACUACAGAUUGGUUUAUACAAAAAAAGGGAGGUGGGUGAGAUCAAAUUAUGAACCAUAUAUGAUUAUUUCUGUCUUAAACAUGUUGACAAAAUAUGUCUGAGAAAAACCACAGUAAAUAUAUUGAGAAGUUGUUGUAAAUAUCAGUUUGAAGUUUUGAAUACAUUGAUAUUGGGUGUGUUAUAAGAUUAUAUAUGUCUAACUAAAAACUGCUUGAGUAGUUGAUAUUAUCAAGGAAAGAUUUACAUAGUCAAAUGAGCAAAUUAAGAAUGAAAUCAUACAAAAGGAUGUUUUAAGAUUAACUGUGGAAGACAUGCUUAUCCUAGUUGUAUCUUAAAGGAACUCAAAUAUUCAUUGAAUUAAG
rnacentral:lncRNA from 1 species